rnacentral:siRNA from 1 species
UACUGAUUCGUGGCUUUCAUGC